CGGGGAGACACCGGGAGACCAGGCGCCCCGACCCAUCGGCUGGUCUUGAGGAGAAGCAGGACCGCCCCAGACUGUCGCCGCGGCCGGCAGGGCCGGGCGCUCCGCGGGGAAUCUGGGCCGCGGUGCCCUGUGCCCCACUCCGGCAGGACUGGGCUUCCCCGGCUCUUCGAGGGAAGACCGCACAGAGAAGACCCUGGGCACCCCUGUGGCGGGCCGGACCCCGGGAAAGUAGGGCCCCUGCUGCCCCGCGCACUUGGUGGCCAAACACCUCCGGAGCCUGAGGUCUUGGGCCUCCUCUGGCUCUGCGUCCGGGGUUCUCUUCUCUCCCCCAAGGGUUGGCCUUUGGGUCAAUCGUCCAGACCCAAGCCAAGCUUGUGUUGGGCAAGGGAGGAAUUCCUGGAAAAGGAAAAAGCCCCUGCCACCCUCCGCCCUUCAUUCAUCUUCCCUGCCACCCACUCUCUCCUUUUCCCUGCUCCUACCCCAACCCUGACCCUCAAGGCCUACCUGGCCAAAGACAACAGCUGCGUUAGUCGCUAGGCCUUGGUGGGACUGAAGGCGGAGGAGCCUGGGCAUCUGCUGGGGGAAGGCCGCACUAGACUGCAAGUCCUGGGUAGAAGCCCUCCCCAUCUUGGGCCAGCUCUCUUCUGAGAGCCUCAGUUUCCCUCUCUAUGAUGCCAAGGGCUUGACUUUGGUGACUUCUGGACAGCCCCGGCAUGGUGUCCUGGAGAAAUUUUUCUACUAAGGACGGGGCUGAAUUGGAGGGACUGUGCUGACAAAUCCUCUACUUGAAAAUCCCCCAGCUAAGGAGUAUCUGCCCAAGGUCGCGGCCACCCAGAUGUUCGGUCCCCACUCCUUCCUCCGCUGAAAAGUCGCACCGAUGACUAACGUUGCCUGCCGGCCUGGUGGUUUGAAAACGAAUGCCGGGCAUUGAUGCAAGGAUAUCCUCCCCUACCCCUGGGAUUCUGGUCUAAGCAAAGGAGGCCGAAUGGAGAACUAAGACAAUUAUCUAAGUAAUCUAAAAAGCUCAAAGACAUCCCCAAGCGGACCUUGCUCCAGUGGUCUGUGAUGGCAGCCUAGUGGACAGUUUUCUAGUGGCCCUCUGGGGUUAAUUGCCUUAAUCUUCCACUCUGUCUGCCCCAGCAAAGGGAAAGAUGCUAAAGCAGCUGUGGACUUGCAGCCUCCCUCCUGUGUGUGCAGAGCCCCCAGGAAUCACUGCCCCAGUGCAGCAGGAGAAGCGCCUUCCCUCAUGCCCUAAGCCUGCCUUUUCUGUUGUCCCCCAGCUCCUGGGCCAGGUGGAGCCCCCCCUGAAGCUGGUUUCUACCUGCCCUCGCCUCCCCACUGCAGCCCACAGUUCGGCUUUCAGGGCUGAACCCAGAGCCCAGAGGAUGGAGAAGCCAGAAAGCGGGGAGGUAAGGGAGAGGGCGUCUAGGCACACCACAGAGGUGAUUGGGCUGUGACGGGGACAAUCCGCACAACACGAGCUAAGCUCACACCCCUAGGGAGUGAUUUUUCCGGACUGCCCCCAUCCCAAUCUCCACCUCCUCUGCUUUACUUGAAAAAGAAAAAGAAAAAAGAGAGCUCCUUCUGGCUCCUGGUGACCCAUAUUUAGGACACCAUCCCAUCCCCCAGCACACACAUUCCUACAGUGUCACCUGGUCCCCAAUCCGAGCAUUUCCUGGAGUGCUCGCCACAUUCCCCUUCCUGGUGCUUUUCUAUGGUGGGGCCAGGGGAGGCCUUGUUUUGAACAUCGCUGUGACGUCACUCCCCCUCCUCCGAGCUAAGCACCCCUCGGUGGGCCCUGGGAAUUGUUGCCCGGCCUGCUGGGGAGGGGCGGAGUGUGGGCCCAGGGAGGGUUCCACCAAACAUCCAUUACCGCUGUCGCCUGCGGGGCCUUCAGGCUGCAAGUACGUGAGGUGUCAGAAAAGAAGCCGAAGGGUUCCCGUGGGGGCUCUUCUGCCAAAUGAGUCAAGAGAUGUGCGGAAGCGGAUGAUUGAAGUACCCCGUGGAGUAGCAGAAAGGGGCAUCAAAAACUGUAACCUGAAAAUAAAAGCUUUAACCUGUUCCCC
ensembl:lncRNA FOXCUT FOXC1 upstream transcript